rnacentral:rRNA from 1 species
AUGGUAGGAUAGAGGCCUACCAUGGUGGUAACGGGUAACGGGGUGUUAGGGCACGACACCGGAGAGGGAGCCUGAGAAACGGCUACCACAUCCAAGGACGGCAGCAGGCGCGCAAAUUACCCAAUCCCGACACGGGGAGGUAGUGACAAUAAAUAACAAUACGGGGUUCUUUAGGAUCUCGUAAUUGGAAUGAGUACAAUUUAAAUCUCUUAACGAGGAACAAUUGGAGGGCAAGUCUGGUGCCAGCAGCCGCGGUAAUUCCAGCUCCAAUAGCGUAUAUNAAAGUUGUUGCAGUUAAAAAGCUCGUAGUUGAAUUUCGGGGUCAGUAGGUCGGUCGUGCCACUGGUAUGAACUGGUUUUACUGAUUCCUCCCUCUUGAAGAACUGUAAUGCCAUUAAUUUGGUGUUGCAGGGAAUCAGGACUGUUACUUUGAAAAAAUUAGAGUGUUUAAAGCAGGCUUUAGCUUGAAUACAUUAGCAUGGAAUAAUGAAAUAGGACGUUUGAUCCUAUUUUGUUGGUUUCUAGGAUUGACGUAAUGAUUAAUAGGGAUAGUUGGGGGCAUUAGUAUUCAAUUGUCAGAGGUGAAAUUCUUGGAUUUAUUGAAGACUAACUACUGCGAAAGCAUUUGCCAAGGAUGUUUUCAUUAAUCAAGAACGAAAGUUAGGGGAUCGAAGACGAUCAGAUACCGUCGUAGUCUUAACCAUAAACUAUGCCGACUAGGGAUCGGAUGAUGUUAAUUUUUUAAUGACUCAUUCGGCGCCUUACGGGAAACCAAAGUGUUUGGG